UACGUAGGUGGCAAGCGUUGUCCGGAUUUAUUGGGUUUAAAGGGUGCGUAGGCGGUUCUAUAAGUCAGUGGUGAAAUCCGGCAGCUCAACUGUCGAUGUGCCAUUGAUACUGCAGAACUUGAGUACAGACGAGGUAGGCGGAAUUGACGGUGUAGCGGUGAAAUGCUUAGAUAUCGUCAAGAACACCGAUAGCGAAGGCAGCUUACUAGACUGUAACUGACGCUGAUGCACGAAAGUGUGGGAUCGAAACAGG
rnacentral:rRNA from 1 species